rnacentral:lncRNA from 1 species
UGAGACGGAUCUGUGAGCUGGGAUAUUGGGAGAUCAACAUGGGACGGCUGGGAUCAAACUUGGAGCAUUAAUCGCUAAGCACUUAGAGGGUGAUGUGGACACGGGUUCAGCUGCAAAUGCGACCUGCACACAUUAGUUUAGACAUCAUCCCAAUUAGUUCGACUUGACCUGCACACAUUAAACUCGACCAAUAAAAUCAGGCAAACUUGAAUUAUUUUUAAUAAUGCCAUGAUGAAGGGGAACACAUUUUCUUAUGUUUAAAUUUAAAAUAUGUGCAUAAAAAUAAUGAU